rnacentral:pre_miRNA from 10 species
UCUCAUGAUGUGACCAUCUGGAGGUAAGAAGCACUUUGUGUUUUGUGAAAGAAAGUGCUUCCUUUCAGAGGGUUACUCUUUGAGA